GAUGAACGCUGGCGGCGUGCCUAAUACAUGCAAGUCGAGCGAACAGAUGAGGAGCUUGCUCCUCUGACGUUAGCGGCGGACGGGUGAGUAACACGUGGAUAACCUACCUAUAAGACUGGGAUAACUACGGGAAACCGGAGCUAAUACCGGAUAAUAUAUUGAACCGCAUGGUUCAAUAGUGAAAGACGGUUUUGCUUUCACUUAUAGAUGUAUCCGCGCCGCAUUAGCUAGUUGGUAAGGUAACGGCUUACCAAGGCAACGAUGAGUAGCCGACCGGAGAGGGUGAUCGGCAACACUGGAACUGGGAAACGGUCCAGACUCCUACGGGAGGCAGCAGUAGGGAAUCUUCCGCAAUGGGCGAAAGCCUGACGGAGCAACGCCGCGGGAGUGAUGAAGUUCUUCGGAUCGUAAACCUCUGUUAUUAGGGAAGAACAAAUGUGUAAGUAACUAUGCACGUCUUGACGGUACCUAAUCAGAAAGCCACGGCUAACUACGUG
rnacentral:rRNA from 1 species